AGCUGGUCCAGUGUGAUGGGCGGCUCGGGAGGAGAAAUGGUUAAGAUAGCACUGAGCUGGUGGCAGGGCUGGGGUGCAAACCUGGAUACUCUGGCAUACCCCACUGUGUCCUAUGCUUGCUCCCUAUUCUCCUGGAGGUAGCCUGUAGUGUGGCAGCUGGACACAGGAGGGUGUAUGGGUUAAUACCCACUGCGUCUUCACUCUGGGUGUCACAGUGAGGACUCGUGACAAAUCAUUCCAUACUCUAGGAUCCUGUUCCCACAUCCCUGCUUCCUCAUGCCUUGUCUUUCCAGUCUUCCAGACUGGGAGGCUCUGACUCAUUCUCAACAUCUUGACACAUCCUUUCUGUCCAGGGCCUCCUUCCCAGUCACUGAGCCCAGGCUGCCUCAUAUUUGUCUGGACUUCUGUAGCAGCCAUCCAACUGGGCUUCUCAGACCAACCCAGCCCAACUGCCUAUGAAGUACGAAAGUGAUUGUUGCUAACUUCAGAGUUCCACAGCACUCCCUAAGUGAUUACUGCAAAUGCUUACUAGGUCCUCAAGCGUCUCAGGUUCGGGAGAUGAGGAAUUAGGAGACCUCAGUUUUAGUCCAGUUCCAGUUUUGUUGUCCUGGGUAAGGCACUCUCUCCCUGUUAGGAGCCAUCCAUGUCCAGAAGGUGGAGAAGUGUCCUAAAGGUGUCUACUCUAAUAGUUCCCUGGUGUCCACCUUCUUCUCUUCCAGACAGACUGCCAUGGCGGUAUGAGCGGUACCAUCUACGAGUAUGGAGCCCUUACCAUCGAUGGGGAGGAAUACAUUCCUUUUAAGCAGUAUGCUGGCAAAUACAUCCUCUUUGUCAACGUAGCCAGCUACUGAGGUCUGACAGACCAAUACCUUGAACUGAAUGCACUACAAGAAGAACUUGGCCCAUUCGGCCUGGUCAUUCUGGGCUUCCCUUGCAACCAAUUUGGCAAACAGGAGCCAGGCGAGAACUCGGAGAUCCUGCCUAGUCUCAAGUACGUUCGACCGGGUGGGGGCUUUGUGCCUAAUUUCCAGCUCUUUGAGAAAGGAGACGUGAACGGGGAGAAAGAGCAGAAGUUCUACACUUUCCUGAAGAACUCCUGCCCUCCCACUGCGGAACUCCUGGGCUCACCUGGCCGCCUCUUUUGGGAACCCAUGAAGAUCCAUGACAUCCGCUGGAACUUUGAGAAGUUCCUGGUGGGGCCAGAUGGCAUACCAAUUAUGCGCUGGUACCACCGGACCACAGUCAGCAACGUCAAGAUGGACAUCCUGUCCUAUAUGAGGCGGCAGGCAGCCCUGGGGGCCAGAGGGAAGUAACUGAUGCCCUACCCCACCCCACCCCAUCCCCUGCCCAUCAUGCAAGGGCUGGGGAGGGGCUCUUCAGGAAGGAAGCAAAAAACGGAAUCAUUCUACACAUACAUCCCAGAUUCCCUUCCUUAUUACAUAAAAGACAAGCUUGGCACAACUGUGUGCCUGUACCACUGUGCACACGUGGCAACUGUCCCACUGUGUGCCAUGCACUGCCUGCCUGGAACCCAGGGACAGACCAUCUGUGCUCACGGUUUGGUACAACACCUUCACACUUUCUCCAGCUUCCCGUUCCAAAUGAGCCCAAAGCAAACACAAGUUCUAAGUCCAAUGGUCCUGCUCAAACCUGAACAUCAUUCUUGGGGCCAGCAUCUCCCAUAUGCCCACAUGACACAUCCGGGCUCACUAUGCCACCAGCCUCCUUCAUCCCUCCUGAAGGACCCUCCUAAGUCUCCAACCCCAUCCCACAGUGCUCCUGAGAAGAGCCGAGACAAUGGUGAGCACGAUGGCCAUGUGCUCCAAGUCAGGGGUGGUGUCUCCAUGAAGGAGGGGCCCGAAGCCCUUGUGGGCGGGCCUCCCCUGAGCCCGUCUGUGGUGCCAGCCCUUAGUGCAUUCAGGCUUAGGCUCCCAGGCAGGGACACCAUCCCCCUCUCUGGAGGACAUGCCUUCUUCUCACUCUGUCCACUGGCAUCUCUCGCACCCCAUCUGCCCAAUAAACGUCUUUCUGCAGCAGUUCUGCCUA
ensembl:lncRNA Gpx3 glutathione peroxidase 3